AGAGUUUGAUCAUGGCUCAGAACGUACGCUGGCGGCACGCCUAACACAUGCAAGUCGAACGCAGUAGCAAUACUGAGUGGCAAACGGGUGAGUAUAAUGUGGGAAUCUGCCUUUUGGUUUGGAAUAACACGGGGAAACUUGUGCUAAUACCGAAUAAGCCUUUACAGGGAAAGUUUUAACGCCGAAAGAUGAGCCCGCACUUGAUUAGCUAGUUGGUAAGGUAAAAGCUUACCAAGGCAACGAUCAAUAGCUGUUCUUAGAGGAAGACCAGCCACAUUGGGACUGAGACACGGCCCAGACUCCUACGGGAGGCAGCAGUGGGGAAUCUUGCACAAUGGGGGAAACCCUGAUGCAGCGAUGCCGCGUGAGUGAAGAAGGCCUUUGGGUUGUAAAACUCUUUCGUCGGGGAAGAAAAUGACUGUACCCGAAUAAGAAGGUCCGGCUAACUUCGUGCCAGCAGCCGCGGUAAUACGAAGGGACCUAGCGUAGUUCGGAAUUACUGGGCUUAAAGAGCUCGUAGGUGGUUAAAAAAGUUGAUGGUGAAAUCCCAAGGCUCAACCUUGGAACUGCCAUCAAAACUUUUUAGCUAGAGUGUGAUAGAGGUAAGUGGAAUUUCUAGUGUAGAGGUGAAAUUCGUAGAUAUUAGAAAGAACACCAAAUGCGAAGGCAACUUACUGGGUCACAACUGACACUGAGGAGCGAAAGCAUGGGUAGCGAAGAGGAUUAGAUACCCUCGUAGUCCAUGCCGUAAACGAUGUGUGCUAGACGUUGGAAAUAUAUUUUUCAGUGUCGCAGCGAAAGCAUUAAGCACACCGCCUGGGGAGUACGACCGCAAGGUUAAAACUCAAAUGAAUUGACGGGGACCCGCACAAGCAGUGGAGCAUGUG
rnacentral:rRNA from 1 species